rnacentral:lncRNA from 1 species
GCACAAGAUGCUCCGAAUCCAGCUCGAGCACCUAUAACCUGCAAAGGACUCAAGACACAACCGAAAAGACGCAAAAGACGGACUUUGACACGAUAGAUGACUCAAAACAUGGACUAAACCAAGACUCGAAACCGUUAAAAACGCAACACAUCAAACUCCCCCCGACUUAAAUCUUUGCUUGUCCUCAAGGAAAGCAGAAAUCCUUAUCAAGAGAAGAGGUUUGAAAACACGAGAACUCACAUUUUCUUCGGGAUCAUGUUCUAUCAAUUGCCUGCAAACCACUAUCACACAACUCAUCAAACCGUACUAGACUGUACUUCGCCAUAACCGUAGCAACAAAAUUAAGUCCCGAAAUCUAAAAGAAUUUUCAGAAUCAGAUAACUUAACCUUUUAACAUUCAUUAGCAGUGGCGUGUAUUCUCACAAAGGGGGUAUCGAACACGUUAUGGGCUUGGUCAAAAAGGGCUAAUAUUUAGUGGCUCAAGGUGUUUCGGGUACUCAACAGUAUAAACGGAUGCACGUCAUUAUGCGAAAUCACAGUGAGACACAGACCAACUAGGAGGUACAUAGCUUCCCUUAAGCUCGGAUCAAAUCAACAAACAUAUUAUCCCAAUCAAACCAAUGACUACCCAUGAUGCUUAACAAUAUAACCAAUGGUAACUCGACAUUUCCGGUUCCAAUCACUCUCCUUUCCCGCUUCUUCUUUUCAUUUUCGUUUUUUUUUUUUUUUUUUUUUUUUUUUUGAAGCGGGGGAGUGGAACCGGUGUCUCACAAAAAUCUGCAUCAAGAACAAUCGCAAACAGCAGCAUACACCCAUGAAUAUAACCUCUAAACCACAAUGGCUCAAUCUCAUCACAUAUCGACAACCAGUAAACUACAACUCACUAUCCUAACAAAAGGAAAGCUAUGUCGGUCCGUAUACUCCGUAGUUUUCGCACAUGGAUGCAUAUCAUGAUGAUCAUAUAAGAAUGCAUGAGGUUUCAAACAAUGGGUGGGGAAACAGGUGCGGUACUAGACUAAAAAUGAGUCUAGCCAUUCAGAGUUAGCAAAGAGUGGUAAAAGUGAUGCGAACAAAACUCUGAAUGUAUGAUCCAUUACAUGAUUCUCAAGCCCCUAAGUGAGAUAAAUUAAGUCCAGAUUAAGUUCAAGUAUAUAAGAUUAAGCUCAAUUCAUCCAAAUUUCAAAGAGAUAGGGACUACUAUAAAGCGAUCAAGUGAUGGAUUUUCCUGAACUUCCAAGUCAUCAGCGAGUAAAGCUAAAAUGGUCCCAAAGGCAAUUAAAUCAAACAUGGUGCAAUUCCCUAAGAAAAGAUCAUAGUUCUCAGACAACAUUUUGACUCAAUAAAAGACAUGAUUUUGACUCGAUAAAACAAACUCGAUGACUCAAAAGAAAAACAUCAAAAAUGCAAACUAGAUUAGUAGACAAGUGGCAGCCUCCCCCCGACUUGCUUCACACCGACUCGGCGUGAAAACAGUUCAAAGAAAAGGUGCCACACGGACGCAAGAAAAUAAAAAUAAAGAGAAAAGAAAAAUGGUAUAUAACAAGGGAAGAGGGUGAGUUACUGUAGUACUCAACGGUGGUGGGUGGGGCUCUCGCUAGAGCUCUGCUCCCCUGGCUGUCUCCUGCUCCUGCCUAAGCGUGUGUCUGGAGAAUGCUCUUGUGAACGCUGCGAAGUCGAAGCUCUACUCUGUCCAGCAGCAGGGAUCAACCUCUCAGCAUGUCGAUCCCCGGCAACGGCGCCAACUUGAUUGCUCGAGUAAUUAACUCAAUACACUUAACCGAUAGGCAGUAUAUUCGAGGUCGAUCCACAAGGACCAAAGAUACUCUAAGGAUUUUCGAGACUUGUUCUUAGCUAAAACUAAAAAGUUGUUUUGUUUGAGUUUUCCGAAUUGUAAAAUAAAAAUGCAAUUAUUAAACGAUUUAAGUUUCAAGAUUUAAAGACAUUAGGCAUUAGGGUAUUUCAGAGAUCAAUAAACAAUGGAAACAUGGGACAAAGAAUUCAACAAUUACGAACCGUUCUUGAACAUGAACACAACUUAGACUAAUUCUCUUUCAAGACAUUAAUCACUAAAUUUGACUACUCGAUUACUAAACUUUCGCAUGUAAUUUCCUAGUCAAAUUCGCAUUAUCAAACAAGUUCAUUUAGUUCACAAUGCGUCCUAACUUCAACUUUCGUUGGCUAGAAAUACAUUGCUCAAUUCACAUUCUUUCAGGCAUUCUAUCGAACACUUUUGAUGCAUAGAAAAACCUAGGUUCUACAACAGGGUGAUCAAUCCUAUUCUAGCAUUAAGAACAUGUGAAUCAAAGAACCUAGAGAAUGAGAAUUCCAAACAACAAUUAAUCCAUUAAUCUAUCGAAUCUCCUAAUUAGAACCCUAACACCUAAUUAAAAGACUACUCACACAUAGCAACAGAAACAAGACAAAUAGAUGAAGAAGUCAUAAUUGAAUUGCAAUGAAAAUAAGAAAUAGGGUUUAGAAAUCUUCUCCAAAUUGUCAAAGAGGAUGAAUCUCUAGAAUCCCAAGGUUGCUUACAAGAGAAAAGUCUUAGAAAAAUUGCAGAAAGAAAACGUCCCAAAGAAAAUUAGGUCUCUGGGGUUUUUAUACCCAAGUACAAAAAAAGGAAGACAAAACCCGGUUUAGGAAAACCGUCUCGGGACGUCGAGGCUCGGAUCGAUCGAUCCCAUGGGUGGAUCGAUCGAUCCAGAUAUGCUGAAUCAAUUGGUCUUGGACGGAUGAGGGUUGGAUCGAUCGAUCCCCUCCUGGGAUCUAUCGAUCUCGAGCUACUGGAACUUUUGGCUUCAUCGUCACAAUUGGGAUCGAUCGAUCCACGCCUUGGAUCGAUCGAUCCCCAGCUCCUGGUGAUCUCUUGUACCGUUUCUCCAUUGUUUUAGCUCCGAAUAGGCUCAAUCAUGCACAAGAUGCUCCGAAUCCAGCUCGAGCACCUAUAACCUGCAAAGGACUCAAGACACAACCGAAAAGACGCAAAAGACGGAUUUUGACACGAUAGAUGACUCAAAACAUGGACUAAACCAAGACUCGAAACCGUUAAAAACGCAACACAUCAAACUCCCCCCGACUUAAAUCUUUGCUUGUCCUCAAGGAAAGCAGAAAUCCUUAUCAAGAGAAGAGGUUUGAAAACACGAGAACUCACAUUUUCUUCGGGAUCAUGUUCUAUCAAUUGCCUGCAAACCACUAUCACACAACUCAUCAAACCGUACUAGACUGUACUUCGCCAUAACCGUAGCAACAAAAUUAAGUCCCGAAAUCUAAAAGAAUUUUCAGAAUCAGAUAACUUAACCUUUUAACAUUCAUUAGCAGUGGCGUGUAUUCUCACAAAGGGGGUAUCGAACACGUUAUGGGCUUGGUCAAAAAGGGCUAAUAUUUAGUGGCUCAAGGUGUUUCGGGUACUCAACAGUAUAAACGGAUGCACGUCAUUAUGCGAAAUCACAGUGAGACACAGACCAACUAGGAGGUACAUAGCUUCCCUUAAGCUCGGAUCAAAUCAACAAACAUAUUAUCCCAAUCAAACCAAUGACUACCCAUGAUGCUUAACAAUAUAACCAAUGGUAACUCGACAUUUCCGGUUCCAAUCACUCUCCUUUCCCGCUUCUUCUUUUCAUUUUCGUUUUUUUUUUUUUUUUUUUGAAGCGGGGGAGUGGAACCGGUGUCUCACAAAAAUCUGCAUCAAGAACAAUCGCAAACAGCAGCAUACACCCAUGAAUAUAACCUCUAAACCACAAUGGCUCAAUCUCAUCACAUAUCGACAACCAGUAAACUACAACUCACUAUCCUAACAAAAGGAAAGCUAUGUCGGUCUGUAUACUCCGUAGUUUUCGCACAUGGAUGCAUAUCAUGACGAUCAUAUAAGAAUGCAU